ACCCCACAUCCUCCACGUGACCCCCGCCUACGUCCAUCUGCUUCCUUCUCAUCUACUACCAGCUCGCCCCCUCAUCCCCGGCUCCAACCAUUUAUUUCGCUCUCGCACCAAGGAGAAAAGCCUCAAAUCUAUCUCCCGUCUGGCAGCCUGCCUGCAGCCUGCUUGUUGAUUUCUACAUAAUUAUUACAGCUUUGCCUACCGUGUUCUUAUUCCGCUUUGAAAUUUGUGAUUUUUGUUUUAUUUCGCUGGUCGAGCUGCGUGAGUUUCAGUCGCUGUGCUCCUUCUUGACUUGCCUGUGAGAUUUCCCAUUCGAGGCAUCUUUUCUUUUCGGUUCAGUUGAUGUGUUCUUUCUUCGUGGUUUGAUCCAUUUCGGCGUGCCGAUGAUGAUGCAAAAGCAUCGGUGAAUUCUGGAUGAGUGUGCCCGCGCACGACCAGUGUGCGGCUCUGGUGAUAUCCACAGCCCCCCCAAGAAAAAUUUCUUCUUAAAGCAAGCUGAUGAGUUAGAAAAUUUGCCCUAUCAAGUGAACCAGUGAUCAAUCACCUCUGUUUUAUUCUUCAGUCAGGAUUUCUGGUGAAUUUUCAUGUCGUCCACAGUGAGUACACACCGUUAAUUCUCUGUAGCAAAACAACUGUUUGUCACAUUUGAUGUUAUCUUUUUCAAGGAAUAAUUCUUGUUUC